CUACGGGGGGGACAAGCGUUGUUCGGAUUUACUGGGCGUAAAGGGCGUGUAGGCGGGCCAUCAAGUCGGGUGUGAAAACUGACAGCUCAACUGUCAGCCUACACUCGAUACUGUUGGUCUUGAGUACAGGAGAGGAGAGCGGAAUUCCAGGUGUAGCGGUGAAAUGCGUAGAUAUCUGGAAGAACACCGGUAGCGAAGGCGGCUCUCUGGCCUGAUACUGACGCUGAAACGCGAAGGCUAGGGGAGCAAACAGGAUUAGAAACCCUAGUAGUCC
rnacentral:rRNA from 1 species